ensembl:lncRNA
CUUCUGCUCUGGCUUCCCUCCAACCCAUUCUCCACACAGCAGCCAGAAAAAGCUUUUAAAAGGUGACUCCCCAUUUUAAAACUCUAGUGGAUUCCUUAAGUGUGACCCGUGAGAUCUCCCUGACUUUCUCUCUGGCCUCAUCUCUCGCCACCAACCUCAUUCUCUGCGCUCGAGCCGUUUCCCUCACAGCUCCCUGAUCCAGACACUUAGCACGUGCAGCUCCCUCUGCCUGGAACCAUUCUCUCUCCCUCCUUCCUUCUCCCUGACACUAACUCUUCCUCUAUUUGUCUCCUUCUCAAAGUGAUCUUUUCUGGACACACUUUCUAAAUCGCCCCCCUUCUGUGGAUGUUUUCUUUUUCUCAUGACACUUGGUGCAUUUUCCCAGCAUGAUCUAUAACUAUGAGUUCAGAGAGGUGUGUUUGCUUGUUGUCGGCGGGAUAGGCUGCGGUGCGCUGCGGUAGCCAACAUUCCCAGAUCCGCAGGGCCUCAAACAGCUGAGGUAGGCGUCGUUUCCUCACACCGUGUGCCCAUCACAGGCCUUCAGUGGGGUUUCUCUUCCUCAGUCAUUCGGGGACCCAGUCAGAUGGGUGACACCAUCCUGAACAUUGCCAGUCGCUGUGCCAGAGUGGAGAGAGGGCUCUGGGGAGUCUGGCAUUGGCAUCUAAAUGCUUUGGCCAGGAGGAGCCAUGGAGGCCCACCGAGUUGCAGGGGGCAGGGCAGGGCAGCAGAGACAACCGCCCCGAUUCAUUGCCUGACUUUCCUACUCCGAGGCUCUGCCGCCAGGCUUGAUUUUCACCUUCUGACUUCUCCUGGCUGCUCAGUGACGUCACGCAGCUCUUCACCCAGCUUCCGUCUUCCCCAUCGACGUUUAAACGUGCUCAAGUCAUUCCCACCUUGAGACACAGCUCUCUUGACCCACACCCACCUCCAGCCCCAUCCCAGGUUCCUUCUCCGCGUUCAGGGGUGAAAUUCUUGAAAGAGUGGUCUGAACUGGCUCCGUUUUCUUACCCUGCUCCAGUGUGGGUUCUGUCCCCUCCGGCCUCUGGAAUGAUUCUAGGGCAGUGGUUCUCAACUUGGCCCCCUGUUUUUAUUUUUAAAGUGGAUUAUUUAAAAAACAAAUGGGCUGGCUGGUGGCGCAGCAGUUAAGUGCGCACGUUCCACUUCGGCGGCCCAGGGUUCACCAGUUUGGAUCCCGUGUGCAGACAUGGCUCCGCUUGGCAAGCCAUGCUGUGGUAGGCGUCCCACGUAUAAAGUAGAGGAAGAUGGGCAUGGAUGUUAGCUCAGGGCCAGUCUUCCUCAGCAAAAAGAGGAGAAUUGGCAGCAGAUGUUAGCUCAAGGCUAAUCUUCCUCAAAAAAAACCCCAAAAAACAAACACCACAAAAAAACAUGUCCCCAGGCCCACCUCCAAGGAUUGUGAUUUAAUUGAUCUGGGGUGAACCCAAGCAUGGGUAACUUUGUGAAGCUUCCCCAGGCCUCCUGAUGGGCCUCUGGGUGGAGAACUCCUCCCGGGGUCCCCGUGCCCAGCGGCCUUAGCCCCAGGGACGUUUCUGCUCUCCUCCUCCUCCACCCCUGGCAGGAACCAACGGUAUUUGUUUCCUGUAGCUGCUGUAACAAAUGACCACACCCUGAGCAGCUUAAAACAACAAACUUAUUUUCUGUCGGUUCUGAAGGCUCAAGUCCACGGUUCUGGGGGAGAAUCGACUCGGUGCCACUUCCAGCUUCUCGGGACUCUGGGCGUUCCUUGGCAGCAUCGCUCCAGUCUGCCUCCUGUCCCGUUGCUGCUUCCUCUUGUGUGUGUGGGUUUCAAACAGCCUGCCCUCCUCAUAAGGAGGCAGGAGAUUGCAUGCAGGGCCCACCCAGCUAAUCCGGAUAAACUCUUCUCGAGAUUCUUAAUCACGUCUUUUGCCUCCUAAGGUAAUUCAGGCCCUUUCCUCGACAUGCCCUCCUGGGUGAGCUCACUCGAGACCACAGCCUCAGUCAUCCAUGUUCUUGCUACAUCUCCAGCCUCAGUCUCCCUGAGAGCUCCAAACCCUCAUG